UGUGGUGUUGUUGGCUCGUGUCGUGAGAUGUUGGGUUAAGUCCCGCAACGAGCGCAACCCUUGUCAUUAGUUGCUACAUUCAGUUGGGCACUCUAAUGAGACUGCCGGUGACAAACCGGAGGAAGGUGGGGAUGACGUCAAGUCCUCAUGGCCCUUAUAGGUGGGGCUACACACGUCAUACAAUGGCUGGUACAAAGGGUUGCCAACCCGCGAGGGGGAGCUAAUCCCAUAAAACCAGUCGUAGUCCGGAUCGCAGUCUGCAACUCGACUGCGUGAAGUCGGAAUCGCUAGUAAUCGUGGAUCAGAAUGUCACGGUGAAUACGUUCCCGGGUCUUGUACACACCGCCCGUCACACCAUGGGAGCGGGUUCUGCCAGAAGUAGUUAGCUUAACCGCAAGGAGGGCGAUACCACGGCAGCUU
rnacentral:rRNA from 1 species